rnacentral:rRNA from 1 species
GUUAGGGCACGACACCGGAGAGGGAGCCUGAGAAACGGCUACCACAUCCAGGAUGGCAGCAGGCGCGCAAAUUACCCAAUCCCGACACGGGGAGGUAGUGACAAUAAAUAACAAUACGGGGUUCUUUCGGAUCUCGUAAUUGGAAUGAGUACAAUUUAAAUCUCUUAACGAGGAACAAUUGGAGGGCAAGUCUGGUGCCAGCAGCCGCGGUAAUUCCAGCUCCAAUAGCGUAUAUUAAAGUUGUUGCAGUUAAAAAGCUCGUAGUUGAAUUUCGGGAUUAAUAUGUUGGUCGUGCCUUGGUACGUACUGGCAUUAUUGAUUCCUACCUUCUGAAGAACCUCGAUGUCAUUAAUUUGGUGUCUUGGGGAAUCAGGACCGUUACUUUGAAAAAAUUAGAGUGUUUAAAGCAGGCUCGCGCUUGAAUACAUUAGCAUGGAAUAAUGAAAUAGGACGUUUGAUUCUAUUUUGUUGGUUUCUAGGAUCGACGUAAUGAUUAAUAGGGAUAGUUGGGGGCAUUAGUAUUCAAUUGUCAGAGGUGAAAUUCUUGGAUUUAUUGAAGACUGACUACUGCGAAAGCAUUUGCCAAGGAUGUUUUCAUUAAUCAAGAACGAAAGUUAGGGGAUCGGAAGACGAUCA